UACGGGGGAGCAAGCGUUGUUCGGAUUUACUGGGCGUAAAGGGCGCGAUAGGCGGUCAGCACAAGUCAGUUGUAGAAAUCUCCGAGCUUAACUCGGAAAGGUCAACUGAUACUGUGCGACUAGAGUGCAGAAGGGGCAACUGGAAUUCUACGGUGUAGCGGUGAAAUGCGUAGAUAUCGAGAGGAACACCUGCGGCGAAGGCGGGUUGCUGGGCUGACACAUGACGCUGGAGGCGACGGAAAGCUAGGGGAGCGAACGGG
rnacentral:rRNA from 1 species